AUAUUAGAUGAUUUAGAUGGCAUAGGACAACAUUCAUACAGAGAUACAAACGACAGUCGGCAGCUAUAGAUAGAUAAACGGAACGAUGAUCGGCAAUGGGAGAAGAAAAUUUGUACGGUACAAUUGGAGAAGAAAAUCGUCCAGAUUUCUGUGCAAAACUGCCCGGAGAAGUUGAUUUUUGUGCAAUACCGCAGCAAUCUGGGAGGAGGAAUGGAUCCGGCUCGUGAAACACAUUUAUCGGGCAAAGCACUUUGGUGUUGGCGUUUGCAGAGAAGAGGAUUUCAUCUCUUUUCAGUUUCUGUUCAACUAAGGCACUCAAGAAGAAGAUGUUGAGGCAUACGAUGCAACAACCAUAAAAUUUCGAAGGUUUAAUGCAGUAACAUACGUCGUUAUCUCAAAAAAUGACGUACAGUGUAUUAUGGCAAGCGGUACCCUCUUUCGAGGGAAAUGGCUCAAAAAAUAAAUGGAUUCAAGCAACAAGAUAUCAGAAGCAGUGUCCGGGGUCAAGAAAUUUGAAGCCAGUUCGUGCGGGGCCUUGGAAGGCAAAUUAUGACCUUAUCUUCAUAUCUGUCACAUCUUGAUUCAGUUACUUAGUAUUUUGUCUUUAACCAAGCAGCAGAUUGUAUAAACUGAUUUACAAUUAUUGAGGAUAAGGAAGUUGAAGUAGAGUUUUCAUGUACUUGGUAAAAUGGAAGGAAAGUAAACUCCUUUCGAGAAGAGAAUGAAGUACUCAAUCUUCUUCACUACGCCAUCACUUGGAAAUCCAUUGGUUCCCAAUAAUCAACUCCAGUGUGACAGUGUUUCUAACUGGUUUCCUGGCUACUAUUCUUAUGCAAGCCCUUAGAAAUGAUUUUGUCAAGUUAACCAGUUGGGCUACCAUCCAUUGUUGCCAAUCCAAGCCAUGAGUCAGCAGGGAAAAAAGAUACAAGGCAUGCACGUCAAGUAUAUGUUGGUGGCCUUUUACCAUUGGCUAAUGAGCAGGAUAAGUCCAGCAAAACUUCUACUUCAACUCAACAUAAGAGGGGAUACAAUUGUGAAAAAUCUAGUUGCCUGAAGAAAUAUUGUGAAUGUUAUCAAGUUUCUUUUCAUCUUUUCUACGUAUGAGAGCUUUUCAUUAGCUUAUAAGAUAAAAGAUUAUCUUUCUAUUGAAGAGUGGUGUUGGAUGCUUGAUGAGUGUGGUUUUACGAGUAUCGGUAUUAUGAUUUACAAUUUAUUUUCCUUUU